GGGUUGUGAGGUUAAGCGACUAAGCGUACACGGUGGAUGCCCUGGCAGUCAGAGGCGAUGAAGGACGUGCUAAUCUGCGAAAAGCGUCGGUAAGGUGAUAUGAACCGUUAUAACCGGCGAUGUCCGAAUGGGGAAACCCAGUGCAAUUCGUUGCACUAUCGUUAACUGAAUACAUAGGUUAACGAGGCGAACCGGGGGAACUGAAACAUCUAAGUACCCCGAGGAAAAGAAAUCAACCGAGAUUCCCCCAGUAGCGGCGAGCGAACGGGGAGCAGCCCAGAGUCUGAAUCAGCUUGUGUGUUAGUGGAACGGUCUGGAAAGUCCGACGGUACAGGGUGAUAGUCCCGUACACCAAAAUGCACAGGUUGUGAACUCGAAGAGUAGGGCGGGACACGUGGUAUCCUGUCUGAAUAUGGGGGGACCAUCCUCCAAGGCUAAAUACUCCUGACUGACCGAUAGUGAACCAGUACCGUGAGGGAAAGGCGAAAAGAACCCCGGCGAGGGGAGUGAAAAAGAACCUGAAACCGUGUACGUACAAGCAGUGGGAGCACCUUCGGGUGUGACUGCGUACCUUUUGUAUAAUGGGUCAGCGACUUAUAUUCUGUAGCAAGGUUAACCGUAUAGGGGAGCCGCAGGGAAACCGAGUCUUAACUGGGCGUUAAGUUGCAGGGUAUAGACCCGAAACCCGGUGAUCUAGCCAUGGGCAGGUUGAAGGUUGGGUAACACUAACUGGAGGACCGAACCGACUAAUGUUGAAAAAUUAGCGGAUGACUUGUGGCUGGGGGUGAAAGGCCAAUCAAACCGGGAGAUAGCUGGUUCUCCCCGAAAGCUAUUUAGGUAGCGCCUCGUGAACUCAUCUUCGGGGGUAGAGCACUGUUUCGGCUAGGGGGUCAUCCCGACUUACCAACCCGAUGCAAACUACGAAUACCGAAGAAUGUUAUCACGGGAGACACACGGCGGGUGCUAACGUCCGUCGUGAAGAGGGAAACAACCCAGACCGCCAGCUAAGGUCCCAAAGUCAUGGUUAAGUGGGAAACGAUGUGGGAAGGCACAGACAGCCAGGAUGUUGGCUUAGAAGCAGCCAUCAUUUAAAGAAAGCGUAAUAGCUCACUGGUCGAGUCGGCCUGCGCGGAAGAUGUAACGGGGCUAAACCAUGCACCGAAGCUGCGGCAGCGACACUAUGUGUUGUUGGGUAGGGGAGCGUUCUGUAAGCCUGCGAAGGUGACCUGUGAGGGUUGCUGGAGGUAUCAGAAGUGCGAAUGCUGACAUAAGUAACGAUAAAGCGGGUGAAAAGCCCGCUCGCCGGAAGACCAAGGGUUCCUGUCCAACGUUAAUCGGGGCAGGGUGAGUCGACCCCUAAGGCGAGGCCGAAAGGCGUAGUCGAUGGGAAACAGGUUAAUAUUCCUGUACUUGGUGUUACUGCGAAGGGGGGACGGAGAAGGCUAUGUUAGCCGGGCGACGGUUGUCCCGGUUUAAGCAUGUAGGCUGGUUAUCCAGGCAAAUCCGGAUAAUCAAGGCUGAGGUGUGAUGACGAGGCACUACGGUGCUGAAGUAACAAAUGCCCUGCUUCCAGGAAAAGCCUCUAAGCAUCAGGUAACAUCAAAUCGUACCCCAAACCGACACAGGUGGUCAGGUAGAGAAUACCAAGGCGCUUGAGAGAACUCGGGUGAAGGAACUAGGCAAAAUGGUGCCGUAACUUCGGGAGAAGGCACGCUGGUGUGUAGGUGAAGCCCCUGCGGGUGGAGCUGAGACCAGUCGAAGAUACCAGCUGGCUGCAACUGUUUAUUAAAAACACAGCACUGUGCAAACACGAAAGUGGACGUAUACGGUGUGACGCCUGCCCGGUGCCGGAAGGUUAAUUGAUGGGGUUAUCCGUAAGGAGAAGCUCUUGAUCGAAGCCCCGGUAAACGGCGGCCGUAACUAUAACGGUCCUAAGGUAGCGAAAUUCCUUGUCGGGUAAGUUCCGACCUGCACGAAUGGCGUAAUGAUGGCCAGGCUGUCUCCACCCGAGACUCAGUGAAAUUGAACUCGCUGUGAAGAUGCAGUGUACCCGCGGCAAGACGGAAAGACCCCGUGAACCUUUACUAUAGCUUGACACUGAACAUUGAGCCUUGAUGUGUAGGAUAGGUGGGAGGCUUUGAAGCGUGGACGCCAGUCUGCGUGGAGCCAACCUUGAAAUACCACCCUUUAAUGUUUGAUGUUCUAACGUUGGCCCCUGACCGGGGUUGCGGACAGUGUCUGGUGGGUAGUUUGACUGGGGCGGUCUCCUCCCAAAGCGUAACGGAGGAGCACGAAGGUUAGCUAAUCCUGGUCGGACAUCAGGAGGUUAGUGCAAUGGCAUAAGCUAGCUUGACUGCGAGCGUGACGGCGCGAGCAGGUGCGAAAGCAGGUCAUAGUGAUCCGGUGGUUCUGAAUGGAAGGGCCAUCGCUCAACGGAUAAAAGGUACUCCGGGGAUAACAGGCUGAUACCGCCCAAGAGUUCAUAUCGACGGCGGUGUUUGGCACCUCGAUGUCGGCUCAUCACAUCCUGGGGCUGAAGUAGGUCCCAAGGGUAUGGCUGUUCGCCAUUUAAAGUGGUACGCGAGCUGGGUUUAGAACGUCGUGAGACAGUUCGGUCCCUAUCUGCCGUGGGCGCUGGAGAAUUGAGGGGGGCUGCUCCUAGUACGAGAGGACCGGAGUGGACGCAUCACUGGUGUUCGGGUUGUCAUGCCAAUGGCACUGCCCGGUAGCUAAAUGCGGAAGAGAUAAGUGCUGAAAGCAUCUAAGCACGAAACUUGCCCCGAGAUGAGUUCUCCCUGAGACUUUAAGUCUCCUGAAGGAACGUU
rnacentral:rRNA from 1 species